GGGGGAAUAUUGGGCAAUGGGCGCAAGCCUGACCCAGCAACGCCGCGUGAAGGAAGAAGGCUUUCGGGUUGUAAACUUCUUUUCUUGGGGACGAAGAAGUGACGGUACCCAAGGAAUAAGCCACGGCUAACUACGUGCCAGCAGCCGCGGUAAUACGUAGGUGGCAAGCGUUAUCCGGAUUUAUUGGGUGUAAAGGGCGUGUAGGCGGGAAUGCAAGUCAGAUGUGAAACUAUGGGCUCAACCCAUAGCCUGCAUUUGAAACUGUAUUUCUUGAGUGCUGGAGAGGCAAUCGGAAUUCCGUGUGUAGCGGUGAAAUGCGUAGAUAUACGGAGGAACACCAGUGGCGAAGGCGGAUUGCUGGACAGUAACUGACGCUGAGGCGCGAAAGCGUGGGGAGCAAACAGGAUUAGAUACCC
rnacentral:rRNA from 1 species